UACGAAGGGUGCAAGCGUUACUCGGAAUUACUGGGCGUAAAGCGCGCGUAGGCGGCUUUGUAAGUUAGAGGUGAAAGCCCGGAGCUCAACUCCGGAACUGCCUUUAAGACUGCAUCGCUAGAAUUGUGGAGAGGUGAGUGGAAUUCCGAGUGUAGAGGUGAAAUUCGUAGAUAUUCGGAAGAACACCAGUGGCGAAGGCGACUCACUGGACACAUAUUGACGCUGAGGUGCGAAAGCGUGGGGAGCAAACAGG
rnacentral:rRNA from 1 species